AUUGAACGCUGGCGGCAGGCCUAACACAUGCAAGUCGAGCGGAUGAAGGGAGCUUGCUCCUGGAUUCAGCGGCGGACGGGUGAGUAAUGCCUAGGAAUCUGCCUGGUAGUGGGGGAUAACGUCCGGAAACGGGCGCUAAUACCGCAUACGUCCUGAGGGAGAAAGUGGGGGAUCUUCGGACCUCACGCUAUCAGAUGAGCCUAGGUCGGAUUAGCUAGUUGGUGGGGUAAAGGCCUACCAAGGCGACGAUCCGUAACUGGACUGAGAGGAUGAUCAGUCACACUGGAACUGAGACACGGUCCAGACUCCUACGGGAGGCAGCAGUGGGGAAUAGUGGACAAUGGGCGGAAGCCUGAUCCAGCCAGGCCGCGUGUGUGGAGAAGGUCUUCGGAUUGUAAAGCACUUUAAGUUGGGAGGAAGGGCAGUAAGUUAAUACCUUGCUGUUUUGACGUUACCAACAGAAUAAGCACCGGCUAACUUCGUG
rnacentral:rRNA from 1 species